AGUCCCCAUUUUCUCAGUCCCCAAGCCUAGGCACACUUACCGCUUUCAGUGCGUCCUCCAGGCGUCGGAAUGGGCCCUGUUUCUGGUUUUGGCUAGGAACAGCUGUCACCUUCUUUGGUUGCUUCUUGUUUAUCGGUUUCUUAGACUCUGCAGCAGGGGGUGGAACUUGCUCUUUAUUCUGCCGUUUCAUGAUUUUCUCAAAGCCACGCUCAUAAAGAGUGCUUGUAGUCUGGAUUGGUGCUGGAAUGAAGACAGGUAGAAAACAGCAGGCCACCCUUAAGACCCCAGAUCCCACUGUACAGUGGUCUCUUCUUUGUAGAGGCACCUAAGUCAUUUAGAGGGAGAUUCUGGCCCAAGCCCUCUCUUCCUUGGAAGCAGCUUAGAAAAACAGGAAAGAGCCCUCCGGGUGGCUGAUUUCAACCACCACAGUCAGGUCCCAGGCCCUCCCAGUUCUUUAUUAAACAAUUAAAGUAUAUGGGAACUAGACCACACUUUUUCCAGCACGGCCUCCACCCCCAAUUCUUCUUAGUUCUGAGAUGACAACUCUAUAUACUCAACAAGUGGCAAAAUUUUUCUCCCUCUCUGGAGAUUGUGGGGACAGGUGACACUGAAAUUAACUCCUGGUUGGAGAAUAUGUCGGGCUAUUCAUCCCAGUGCUGGCCUUCUCAUCCACUCCUCUCACACCUGCUGGUUAUAUAAGAAGGGGCUCCAUGUAGGAUCCCAGAUGCCUCUGCUCCGUGGCUCAGACACCUGGCCAGUGAGGGCCGGGGCAGCUGAGAGGGUUGUGUGCAAAGGCUUGGACAGAUAGAGAUCGGAAUUCCAGUCUCCUCAGACUCGAAAAUCGGCUUCUCUGGACCUCCGCUUCCGACCUAUGCAGCGGAGAUGACCACCUCUCCUCGUGCUGUCCCUGAGUCACCGUGGCCGGGCUCCCGAGGAUCGGCUCCCGGCUCCCGCAGCUGUCCGCCGUGCCCCUGCCCCACAGGCCCAGGUGGGCGGCGGCGGAUACUCACAGCUCAGGUCGUAUUUCAACACUCCAUUUGCCUCCCCGAGCGCCCGGCGGUCACUGCCACCGCCGCCGCCUCGCCCACCGCUGCUUGCUCCAGGUCGCCGGCCCCUCUUCACCACCUCCCAGCCACCGCUACCCGCUGAUCUGGCCGCCAUGACUUCAGCUCCACCACCUCCCGGCUUUCGGCCCCGGACAACCUCCGCGCGGUGCCACGUCUGCUGCCUCCGCCGCCGCAAGGCACCCUGGGAUUCGUAGUCCGUUCGCGCCACGGCGCCGCGCCGAGCGCCUGGGGAGUGAUGGCGGCGGCCAGGUUCCGCCCCUGGGGCGCAAAAAUCCCUACCCUGCACCUGCGGGCGGGCUCGCCUCUGACCCGCAUGGAAAUGGGACUGUUCCCUUUUUUCUUAUCUUUGCAAUGCUCCUGAAGGAUGGAAUGAAAAUAGUUCUCACCUCGGGAGAAUUUGAGGAAUAAAUGUGUUCUUACUUCUUAGAAAGUAGUAGUCUGUUAGCAAUUAAACUUCGUAUUUGGCGGCCAACAAACUUAAUUGCCGAGGAGUGGGACGAUGCAGACUUGGGGGAGAAAAGUAGAGCGGCAGAAAGACUGAGAAAACUUAGUAGAGUAGCUCAAUGGCAGGGCGAGAAAAGUCUGGGGCAGCCAGGCCAUGAUCCCUUUGGAGGCAGCCAGGAAAGGACAGGCUCUGGCUCAUGCCAUGUUCCAGAUGUUCAGCCCUAGACUGAAAGAAUCACACAGCAAGGUCCCGACCCUAGACGGCCUACAAAACUUGAAUGAUCCCAGCUAGGGAGCAUGAUGAAUGAUAAAACAGCAAUGAAAAUAUCACAUUUAAGGAAAUAUGUUGCUUAGUGUGCUUGUGUGGAACUCAUGCUCCCGCACUGCUGUACACAUUAUCCCCCCCAAACCUCCUUGGUUACUUUUUUUUAGACAGGGUUUCUUUGUGUAGAGCUGGCUGUCCUGGUACUCUCCCUGUAACCAGGCUGGCCUUGAACUCAAGAGAUCUGACUGCCUCUGCCUCCUGAGUGCUGGGAUUAAAGACAUAAACCAUC
rnacentral:lncRNA from 1 species